rnacentral:lncRNA from 10 species
CAGGGGCGUAAGUAGAUGGAGUAUGCCACACUUGGUUGACAAAUGCAAAUACUUCGAGAGGCUAUCCCAGCAGACCCCACUGUGGUUUGAGGGUUUUCUCGUCAUCUUGCAUUAGAGAAAAUGAUGCUGAAUCACAUACACUUAACAAAUCAAAAAGCAACAAACAUAGGCUGGCCUUGACAGCUCUACCACUGGCUGGUUCCAGCAGGCCCUGGGUUGUGUGUGUUGGGGCUCCUCCCCAGAGAGAUGAAGAGAUGGACCGACAGUAACAGAAGGCCCUCGAA